GCCUCGGUGGUGUAACGGUUCAGCACACGCUUCCGAAAAGAGCGAGAUCUGGGUUUGAAUCCCUGCUAACGCA